AACAAUUCAAUACCUACUUAUCAUAACGACCGAGCUAUCACACUGGUAAAAAAAAACACAGUGGAUCUAGAGUCCAGACUCUUGAAAACAUUGACAGGAAAAGGGACUCUUGAUUCAAUCAGAUUUAAGCUUAAAUCAAGAGCCAAGCCUCUUAAUUUGAGCGGAUUUCCUUUUGAUUUAAGCUUAAAUCUGAUUGAAUCAAGAGUCCAUUUUCUUGUCAAUGUUUUCAAGAGUCUGGACUCUAGAUCCAAUGUGUUUUUUUUUACCAGUGCAUUUGUUUUUACGGUUUUUAAUUUAUACACUCCUCAGAUGUUGAAUGAACAGAGCUGUAAAUACAAACUGUUCAUCAUACAAGUGGACGUAUUUAUGCGAAAAGGAGCUAUGUGGAAGUGGAAAGAUGGGGUGUGCUCUUAGUGGUCGGGCUAUAAGAAUGAAUGGGGAAUAUAAAGCGCCAGUGACGUCAGCGGCAAUGAAAAAGCGGAGGUCCGACGGGGACAUCGCCGUCGUCGAGCAUUAACUCAUGAGCCCUGGCCACAACGCUCUCUUGCCAUGCCCGCGGCUCAUGAGUUAGCAUAUUUUGGCGCUUAGCUCCCUUUGAUUUAAUUGAAAAUCCCGCUUUUCAAUUUUCUCAAAAGGAACUAUAUCCACUUUUACAUUGUUUCUUAUGACCCAACUAACGAGCACACCCCAUCUUUCCACUUCCACAUAUCUCCUUUUCGCAUAAAUACGUCCGUUUUAUCCUCGGCUUUAAACGAGAAAACUGGCAUAGUUGCUCUCGUUGCCUCGGCACGUGAGUUGAAAUCCGAGAAUUACCAGCGGCUCGAUUGUUGAAUCGAUAUCUAAUGACCUGGAUCGAUAGAAAGCAUUGAUAAGAUAGGGAUUUAUCGAUAGGAUCAUUCGAUAACGAUUCGAUAAUCGACCCGUACGGCGAUUUGUUGCAGAUUUGCAGUGCACGACCCUACCAAGUCGAGUGCCCAUCUUGGUGGUUCCAAGAACGAAAUUCUUCUUGGUUCUAUGUGACAAGAACUACAAGGAGGUCGCUUUCUGGUCGCCACUUACAAUUAGCCUAAUUCGCCGUUCCUCUCCCGUCAGAGCUACCCAAAGACAUAAAGACGGAGUGCUAAAAGCAAAAAAUGAAGCUUCUUUUCAACCACCUCUACUAUUGGCUAGAGCAUUGGCGGCAAAAUCGGGACAAGUUUGAAAUUCAAAUGUAGGGCGGGAACUAAAUAAAAUUGCGAAAAGAAAGUAUUCUAGGUUGAUUUUUGCGCAAAUUCACUUACCCACUCAUAUUUUUGUAACUUAGGUUAGUUUUGGUCCGUCGUCGACCGAUUAAUUUCAUUUGGGAGUAACGGUCAUCUAGGACCGUAACGGCCUGUUUAAACCGGCAGGCCUCACCAUGCGCAGAAGAAAAACUAACUUUAUUUGAAAUUACUGCCUGUUACGGAGAAAAAGUAAGUGUAUUAUACUAGGUCGUAGUCCCAACUAUCUUAAUAUAUUCGUUUUAGGCAUUUAAAAUACGUUUAGAAGAAGAAAUGUGGAGAAAUCAAGAGGACAAGUUCAAAUCAAAUUUCCGUUUGCCGCCAUGGAUUCCCGCGCUCAUUUACACACUCACACAAGCACCCAGAGCCAAACAAGGCUUCACUUUUUCCCCGUGCUUUUAGAUACGAGCACUCCGUCUUUAUGUCUUUGGAGCUACCGUGCUAAGGAAAAACGCCGAAUGAACAUUCGAGAGUUGCCAAAUUUCCCUUGAUAAAACAUGUAUUUUUGACAACAUGCGUGCAUAUUUUUCCUUGAGAUUUUCAGAUAUUUUGGAUUAAAUUACGUACAAAAUUGUCUGAAAAUUUUGGAAAAUAGGAAUCACAAUUUUUCCAGUAAGCUCGAUUUUUAUCGGAGGGAACUUGGCAACGUCUGAAGGUUCAUACGGCGUUCUUCCUUAGCACGGCGGAGAGCGUAUCUAGAUUUCCGCGUGAGUCUCAGAGAGCAUGGAUUUCAGUGCCGUGGCGUGAAUGAUCGAUUAUCGAUAUGUCUCCAUUUGAAGCUAUGGUAAAGAAUCCAUUAUUAAGGUGUUCGCUGCGAACAACCGGUUUAUCGAUCUUUAUCCAUAGGUUUAAAUGGCAGAUUUACCGAUAUAUCGCAAAGCACGCCCGCCACUGAUGGAUUUUUAUGUAAAACCGGAUUCACGUGGAAUUUGAGAUACGCUCUUACGCCAGGCGAUCGAUUUUCGAUAUUUUUCUACUUGAAGCUAUGGUGAAGAAUGGAUUAUUAAGGUGUUCGUUGCGAACACCCUAUGUAUCGAUCCUUUUCCAUAGGUUUAAAUGGCCGAUCAAUCGAUAUAUCGCAAAGCACAGCACACAAAUGCGCCAGAGGGGUGACAAAUUGCCAAUAUGGUCCGUGACCGUAAAAAAAGUAAGAAAAAAAAACCUCUGUCAAAAUAGGUUCUGUUAAAAACUUCAAUUAGUGCAAAACCAAGGAAUGCCCCGUGGGAAAAAGGGUAAAAAAUCACGAUAAACGCAUUCGUAAAGUUUAUACUUCACGCCCUGCCUUGCCUCAUGAUUAGGGUGAAAGAUUUGCACAUUUUUGAGCCUCUUACACUGAAAAAAAUUCUCGGCGUUUUUACCAAGGUCCGUUGGUACCUUUAAUAUCUCACUUUUUUUACCAAUUAUUGGUAAUUUUACCAAGACAGACUGGUAAGCUUACCUAAAAACCGGUAUUUUUUGCUGUUUUUUUUUUUUUCCGGUAAGAAUACCAAUUUUAUUGGUAAUAAAUUCCCGGUAACUUCGCCAUUUUAUCUCGGUAAUUCUACCACAGUCGAUAAAAAAUAUUGGCGUUUUUACCAAGGUCCAGUAAAAUUACCGAGAAAGUUCAAUAAUUUUACCGAGAUUUCUCGGUAAAAUUACCAAUUCCAUAAAUGAUAAUUUUACCAAGAAAAAACUGGGAUCAAAUGGAACCCUGAAUUCUUGUUAAUUUAAUCCUUUUCUCAGUGAAUACACCGUGAUUUUUUUUUCAGUGUAUAACUUUAGGAUGUAUGAUGGUAUAGCCGUAAUUUGAUGCAUCAUAAUCCAGUUACAACCAGUUUGAUCCGGUUUCAUUAUUCUGCACGAAUCUCAAAAUAGCGUCCGACAUAGGAUGGAAUUUCAGAUGGGAAAUAUGAAGCAAACAAGCGACAAAAUGCAACGAUAGAGCUUUUUAUAAUUAAAGUGCAAAUACAGAGGGCAGAAGAAAAGUUUUUGGAAUGAUAUAUGUGUUGGCUGAAUAAGUAUUUGAGAAGUUGCAGAUUGUGAAGGGAUAUUGAAGUUUGGUAUUAAAAAAAAAAAAAAAAAAAAAAAAAACCCGAAAAAUACAAACAGGGUGUCUAGUCUACUAAAACAGGCUGGCCAAAAAUCAGUACUUAUACAGUACUUUUUCAGUACAUUUCCAAAAUUCAGUACCUCCUCAACAGAAAAAUUUAGUACUUUUUCAAUACCUUCGACUGACGAAAUUUGAAAAUUUUGAAUUUCCCGCUCAAAUUGCGACAAAAUGAAAGAAAUUCCGGAUUUUCUCCCAAAAUUUCCGCACUUUUUCCGUACUUCCGGACCGCUCUUGAAAAAUCAGUACUAUUUCCGGACUUUCCGGAAAUUCCGGACUUGUGGACACCCUGACAAAAGAAUUUAAAACCUGCGAAACCACUGAAUAUCCGAACAUCCCAACCGCGAAAAUAAUCGUAAUAAUACAGUAUUUUUAAGAUUUGGUGUAAAGAGAUCAAACAAAUAGUUUUCAACCAGGACUCAAAAGCCUCUCUUCCGAAUUCACAAUUUUAGGAGGUCCUUAAGACAGAAGCAACGAUAGGAUUUUUUAUGAUUAAAAUGCAACUUGUAAAUCAGGAAAGAAAAGUUUUUUAAUAAUAAAUGCACUGGGUAAAUGAGCAUUUGGAAAUGUAGAGAGUAGAAAGGAAUCUUGAAGUCUGUUAUAUUAUUAAAAAAGCAAAAACGAAAAAGAAAAAGAAACACAUACUUAUACGAAACCCUGAAUAUCCGAAUAUCCCAACCGUGGGAAUAAUCGUGACAAUAGACCAUAUUCGAUGGUGGUUCGAUGUAUCGUUUGGUUCAAAACAAUAGAACAUAACCUCAAACAGAACCAUUAGGAUUUAAGUUGGAAAAGCUGAAAAUGAGAAAAUUCCUAACAAUUUCACUUCGCAUUGGCAUUUGGUACUCAAAAGAAUAAAGAUCUAUUACAAAAGACCCGUUCCCUCAGAUUUCUGAAUUGACUUUUGAGGCUAUGUUUAUGUUUUGAACCAAUCGAUAUCGAUACAAUCUCACCCGUUUGAUGUAUCGAAUACGAUCUAUACAGUAUUUUUACAACGCGGUGUUGAGAGUUCAAGCAAAUAGUUUUCAACCGGGGCUGAAAAGCUUC
rnacentral:lncRNA from 1 species